rnacentral:rRNA from 1 species
UAGCCGUAAACGAUACCCGCUAGGUGUCGGCCACGGUGCGACCGUUGUCGGUGCCGUAGGGAAGCCGUGAAGCGAGCCACCUGGGAAGUACGGCCGCAAGGCUGAAACUUAAAGGAAUUGGCGGGGGAGCACAACAACGGGUGGAGCUUGCGGUUUAAUUGGAUUCAACGCCGGAAAUCUUACCGGGACCGACAGCAACAUGAAGGCCAAGCUGAAGACUUUGCCGGAUUAGCUGAGAGGUGGUGCAUGGCGUAGUCGUGU